rnacentral:pre_miRNA from 1 species
UGAGAGCAACUUAUCUUGAGAUUUAUUAUCUCGAGAUAAGUUAUUCUGGAC